AAGCUUUUCAGGAAGAGGUGUGAAUACUGUGCCAGAUAAGGGGCAGGGUCUGGCAAUCUUUCCUAGUCAUUCUGGGAAAGAUGGCAAAAGUUCUCAGCCUGCCACCAUUAUGGAUGCUGCACAAAGAAAGCAGGUUUUACUUCAGCAAGCUCUACCACCAGGAGCUCCUAGUAACAUACUGGUAAUAGGUCUUUUCUGCAAUUUAUAAUUCUUGGUUUUUGUUCUUGGAUUUUCUUUAAACAAUGCAUUCUUUGGUUCUGUCAAUUUCAGCACGCGCCAGCUUUUAUCUUUCCUUUGAGCCAGCAACAGGCAGCAGCUGCUGCUGCUGUUCGACCUGGAUCUGUUAAGUCUCCUCCGGCUGCUAGUAGUGCUGUGUCAUCCAGUGCAUUAAAUUGUGCCACAGUUAGUGCUACUGCAACAGCUGGAGCUCCAGCCACAGCAAUGAGCUUCAACUACCCAAAUAUGCCGGCCAAUGAGACCCAGUACCUGGCAAUUUUGCAGAACAGUGGGUACCCAUUCCCAAUUUCUGCACAUGUAGGAGCACCGCCUCCUUAUAGAGGAACUCAUACUCAACCUAUGCCAUUCUUUAAUGGGUCUACUUUCUAUUCUUCUCAAAUGCUUCAUCCUUCACAGCUUCAGCAGCAGCAGCAACUACAGCAAC
rnacentral:lncRNA from 1 species